AUUGAACGCUGGCGGCAUGCUUUACACAUGCAAGUCGAACGGCAGCGCGGGCUUCGGCCUGGUGGCGAGUGGCGAACGGGUGAGUAAUACAUCGGAACGUGCCCGGUAGUGGGGGAUAGCUCGGCGAAAGCCGGAUUAAUACCGCAUACGACCUGAGGGUGAAAGCGGGGGAUCUUCGGACCUCGCGCUAUUGGAGCGGCCGAUGGCAGAUUAGCUAGUUGGUGGGGUAAAGGCCUACCAAGGCGACGAUCUGUAGCUGGUCUGAGAGGACGACCAGCCACACUGGGACUGAGACACGGCCCAGACUCCUACGGGAGGCAGCAGUGGGGAAUUUUGGACAAUGGGCGAAAGCCUGAUCCAGCAAUGCCGCGUGUGUGAUGAAGGCCUUCGGGUUGUAAAGCACUUUUGGCGGGAACGAAAAGGACUGUGCCAAUACCACGGUUCGAUGACGGUACCCGCAGAAUAAGCACCGGCUAACUACGUG
rnacentral:rRNA from 1 species